CAUAAUUUUACUCAGUAGCUGUAAAUAUGGUGGCCAUUCAUUUCAGUGCUUAGAAAGUAGCAUCACUUUUGAGGUAUCAUUUCACCAGCAUGUUUGUCCCUGUUCAGGAAUCUUACAGUCUUGCACACUGUUUUGCAUUGACUCAGUGGCUGCCCAGAUGAUGGUUGUCUGCUGUCCUGCCCACCAAAGCUGCAUAGAUCUCACAAGCAUCUGGGACUUCAUGCUCCAGAAGCCCUUUUCAUGAGAGAGAGACUUGUUAGCUGCAUUUGUACCAGCGCUUUCGUCCAGAAAACGGCAUGCUCCCGUAGGCCUGUUUAAAUAUGACCUGUGUCCUGAUGAGUUUGGGGAAGAGCGAGGCAUUCAGCAGCAGGAAUUCCCUUCUGAGAUGUAUCUCUGUGGUGCUUGGCACUGUGGUGUUGCAAGGCACUUUCACAAAGAUUUCAUGGACAUGUAAACGUUGCUGUGAGGCUCUUUGCUUUCCUGGUGUGAUCCAGACAGCUCUCAUGAACACCCAGGAGAUACACAGGUACAUGCCCAUUUUCCGAGCUGCAGUUCUGGGAAUUGCAUUCUUUCCUUUUGUAUAUUAAUUUUAGCAAGGAGAAUGGUAUUUCUCCCUGGUGCAUCAAUGUGCCAGUUCCCUGUUUCUCAGAGGACUUGCAUCCUCAAGGUGUAGCUGUACAAGCUAUUUGCCAGCAAUGUCGUUAUACGUCGGCAGGGUGGCUGUCUGUCCCUUCACCUGUGUCCCUUCACCCAUUUAGGAUCUCUCCACCCCUGGAGACACUGGGAAGGCUCUUUUUGAAUCCAGUAAGAAUCCACUUGGUCUUGAGGAUCUGCCUCAAGAGCAAGCAGUUUUCUCCCUGCAGACAGGAAUUAACCCUUCAGAGAUGCCAGUUAGGCUCCAUUUCAUCGCCGUUAGGGUUGCACUUCAAGUUGGAGACCACCCCAGUCUCCCCCACCCUCAGCCUCCAGCUGGUACCCAACCAUCACGCCUCCCCUCACCCUAUUGCUCUGCUUCUGUCCUGUUAGGUUUUUCUUCCUCCUGUGAGUAAUCUAGUGCUCCUGCCCUGGGGUGAAGCACCGUGGAAAGCCUCAGGAUUUCCUUCCCUUGAAACCCCACCAGAGCUCUGCUUUGUGCAGUGGGGCUGUUUUCGGCACUCCUUCCUAGGCUUCUCCCUCCCRGCUCACCUGGCAGCUCAGUCAUGCGCUCUCACACCCUGGUCGCCCCUCAUCUCAACAGAGCACUUCAGCGGGUGCCUAACUUGAAUCUGCAGCCCUGUUCAGGCAGGUUUUAAGCUAGCUGUAUGCCGACGUGCUUUGCUGGAGGUACGUGGCUGAAUUUGAAAGCUGUGUGGCUUCGAUAAUUUAGAGCCUACAUUAUGAUGUUGGUUUGAGCUUUUCAAGGAUCGGAAGAUUGAGCCAGAUGAUAUAACCAGAGCAUCAAACAAAAAAUUAAAACUGAAGAUAAAAUACAGUAGUUCAUUUUCUUUGCAGUUGGAUCUGUUUUCCUCCUUGCUUUCCCAAAAGUGAAUGGUCUUUGGGUUAGAGCCACAGAACUCUCCAGAACUGUGCGUACUGGGCAAAUCAUAA
rnacentral:lncRNA from 1 species